rnacentral:RNase_P_RNA from 1 species
UGAACAGCCGCGGGCAGCUUCCGAAAGGAACUGCGCGAGGAAAGUCCGGGCUUCACAGAGCAAAAAUAACGGCUAACCGCCGCCGGAGGCGACUCCAGGGCCAGUGCAACAGAAAAUAACCGCCGCUUUUGCGGUAAGGAUGGAAAGGUGAGGUAAGAGCUCACCGGAGGGUGGGAGACCACUCUGCCGUGUAAACCCUAUUUGAAGCAACACCGUGGUAGAACAUAUACGCUUGCUCGGCGUGUUCUUAGGAGGUGGCACCGAGCAGUGCGGGCAACCGCCUGCCAAGAUAGAUGGCUGUUCACGACAGAACCCGGCUUACAGAUGC